GGAAGUCCUACCCUUCUCAAAACUCAUAUUAUCAUACUAUCAAGCCAUUUUCAGUAAUACUUUAAACUUCUUCUUAGGUAUUGUAUAUGUACUCAUGAUCAACAACUUGGAUUCUUUCAUAUUUUUGGAUUUUAAUAUAGUCAUAUUUUUAAAGGCUAGUUUGAGACUCUAAUUCAAGAUUUUCACCGAGAGAAAAUUCUUACUGAUAUGUGGGACGAGAUCUGAAGGAAUGCAUUAUGCAGGAGUUGAAGCUGGAUGGACUUUCUAUUUAUAAACAAAAGGCUAUGAUCAUUAAGCUAAUGUUGAUCACUAAUCAAAAUAUUUGAGGCACUUUCAAUGCAACAUCUGAUGAUAUUACCUUUUUAUUAACCAAAAAGCUUCACCUCACCUUUCCAUGCC
rnacentral:lncRNA from 1 species